CUAGAGACGCUGGCGGCGUGCCUAAUACAUGCAAGUCGAACGAACUCUGGUAUUGAUUGGUGCUUGCAUCAUGAUUUACAUUUGAGUGAGUGGCGAACUGGUGAGUAACACGUGGGAAACCUGCCCAGAAGCGGGGGAUAACACCUGGAAACAGAUGCUAAUACCGCAUAACAACUUGGACCGCAUGGUCCGAGCUUGAAAGAUGGCUUCGGCUAUCACUUUUGGAUGGUCCCGCGGCGUAUUAGCUAGAUGGUGGGGUAACGGCUCACCAUGGCAAUGAUACGUAGCCGACCUGAGAGGGUAAUCGGCCACAUUGGGACUGAGACACGGCCCAAACUCCUACGGGAGGCAGCAGUAGGGAAUCUUCCACAAUGGACGAAAGUCUGAUGGAGCAACGCCGCGUGAGUGAAGAAGGGUUUCGGCUCGUAAAACUCUGUUGUUAAAGAAGAACAUAUCUGAGAGUAACUGUUCAGGUAUUGACGGUAUUUAACCCAGAAAGCCACGGCUAACUACGUGCCAGCAGCCGCCGGUAAUACGUAGGUGGCAAGCGUUGUCCGGGAUUUAUUGGGCGUAAAGCGAGCGCAGGCGGUUUUUUAAGUCUGAUGUGAAAGCCUUCGGCUCAACCGAAGAAGUGCAUCGGAAACUGGGAAACUUGAGUGCAGAAGAGGACAGUGGAACUCCAUGUGUAGCGGUGAAAUGCGUAGAUAUAUGGAAGAACACCAGUGGCGAAGGCGGCUGUCUGGUCUGUAACUGACGCUGAGGCUCGAAAGUAUGGGUAGCAAACAGGAUUAGAUACCCUGGUAGUCCAUACCGUAAACGAUGAAUGCUAAGUGUUGGAGGGUUUCCGCCCUUCAGUGCUGCAGCUAACGCAUUAAGCAUUCCGCCUGGGGAGUACGGCCGCAAGGCUGAAACUCAAAGGAAUUGACGGGGGCCCGCACAAGCGGUGGAGCAUGUGGUUUAAUUUCGAAGCUACGCGAAGAACCUUACCAGGUCUUGACAUACUAUGCAAAUCUAAGAGAUUAGACGUUCCCUUCGGGGACAUGGAUACAGGUGGUGCAUGGUUGUCGUCAGCUCGUGUCGUGAGAUGUUGGGUUAAGUCCCGCAACGAGCGCAACCCUUAUUAUCAGUUGCCAGCAUUAAGUUGGGCACUCUGGUGAGACUGCCGGUGACAAACCGGAGGAAGGUGGGGAUGACGUCAAAUCAUCAUGCCCCUUAUGACCUGGGCUACACACGUGCUACAAUGGAUGGUACAACGAGUUGCGAACUCGCGAGAGUAAGCUAAUCUCUUAAAGCCAUUCUCAGUUCGGAUUGUAGGCUGCAACUCGCCUACAUGAAGUCGGAAUCGCUAGUAAUCGCGGAUCAGCAUGCCGCGGUGAAUACGUUCCCGGGCCUUGUACACACCGCCCGUCACACCAUGAGAGUUUGUAACACCCAAAGUCGGUGGGGUAACCUUUUAGGAACCAGCCGCCUAAGGUGGGACAGAUGAUUAGGGAA
rnacentral:rRNA from 2 species